rnacentral:rRNA from 1 species
UACGGAGGGUGCAAGCGUUAUCCGGAUUCACUGGGUUUAAAGGGUGCGUAGGCGGGUUGGUAAGUCAGUGGUGAAAUCUUCAAGCUUAACUUGGAAACUGCCGUUGAUACUAUCAAUCUUGAAUGUUGUGGAGGUAAGCGGAAUAUGUCAUGUAGCGGUGAAAUGCUUAGAUAUGACAUAGAACACCAAUUGCGAAGGCAGCUGGCUACAGGUGGAUUGACACUGAGGCACGAAAGCGUGGGGAUCAAACAGG